GACGAACGCUGGCGGCGUGCUUAACACAUGUAAGUCGAACGGAGUGGCGAACGGGUGAGUAACACGUUGGUGACCUGCUCUGCACUUCGGGCAUAGCCUGGGCAACUGGCUCUAAUACCGGAUAGUGGGGGAUGGGCCCGCGGCCUAUCAGCUUGUUGGUGGGGUAUUGGCCUACGAAGGCGGCGACGGGUAGCCGGCCUGAGCGGGUGGACGGCCACAAUGGGACUGAGACACGGCCCAGACUCCUACGGGAGGCAGCAGUGGGGAAUAUUGCACAAUGGGCGGAAGCCUGAUGCAGCGACGCCGCGUGGGGAAUGACGGCCUUCUGGUUGUAAACUCCUUUCACCAUCGACGCGGUAGAUGGAGAAGAAGCACCGGCUAACUACGUGCCAGCAGCCGCGGUAAUAC
rnacentral:rRNA from 1 species